rnacentral:pre_miRNA from 1 species
UUGUUUGCGGGCGUAGCAUCAUCAAGAUUCACAUGCAAAUGCACGGUGGUGAUCCUCUCUCUCUUUCUCUCUUCAUCCCCAUGAACCAAAGUUAUUUGAAGUGAGAAUCUUGAUGAUGCUGCAUCGGCAAUAA